rnacentral:rRNA from 1 species
UGAGUAACCUGCCCUUAACUCUGGGAUAAGCCUGGGAAACUGGGUCUAAUACCGGAUAUGACUCCUCAUCGCAUGGUGGGGGGUGGAAAGCUUUUUGUGGUUUUGGAUGGACUCGCGGCCUAUCAGUUUGUUGGUGAGGUAAUGGCUUACCAAGGCGACGACGGGUAGCCGGCCUGAGAGGGUGACCGGCCACACUGGGACUGAGACACGGCCCAGACUCCUACGGGAGCAG